GUGAGCAUGGCGCAGCUUGGUCAGCGCAUCUUCCUUGGGAGAAGAGGGUCGUAGGUUCGAAUCCUGCUGCUCGCACCA
rnacentral:tRNA from 1 species